UGGUCUGCCAAAUUGAAAAAAAGUGUAAAACUCCUUGUAUAUACUUUUCAUUUCCUUGCAUACGAUUGAGCAGGGUCUUUGCCGCUCCAUUCAUUUAAUCUAUUUCUCUCUCCAUCUUUUAUUCUCUUAAUCUUUUUUGUUCUCUCUCUCCCUCUCCCUCUCUCUCAGAGACGCAGAUCCAAGAACGCACCACACACCCAAAUCUGAAUCACGGAUCUUCUAUCCGUUUUUGUCAUCUCCUUCUCCUUUACAGGCUCAAAUCCCGCUCAAUUGCCUCUUAAUCCCAAGCCCAGAAUAGAUGCUUCUCUCCUAUAUCUUGAAUCGGUUUCUUUUCUUUGAUUUGGAUUUGGGUUUUCUUGGGCUCUUCGAUUUUGGUCUAUGAUAAUACCCACCUCCUUUCUCUCUCUGGUUUCUGUUUCGAUGUGGGUAUUAUAUAUUAAUUUGUUCAAUUUUUCCUGUAAUAGCAGGUCUUGCUUCCUAAUCUGGGUCUUUACUGUCUUCUACUCACUCUUGUUAGGUGACUUUGGAGGCUACACAUCAUGGAUCGAUUACAAACACGCCUGCCAUGUUCCUGGAGAUUGGCAGUACAGAUGAUUGUUGGAAGAGGCAGGAUGCAGCUGAAGUUAUGGCUCUAGAAAGAUGAUGUCUGGGUGGGCCGUCUAAUUUCGGGUUAUUCGUUACCAAUGGAAGAUCCGAGCCAGUCCAAGACAGAAACAAAUACAAAAGAUAUCGGUGGAACUUGGAAACAAUCAAUCAAAGUAGCAUUUGAGGCUAUGCAAUCAGCUUUCCCUGGUGGAGAGCCUUCUGUUCUGGUGCAGAUGCUAUUACCCUUUAUCAACUAGUCAUUCAAGGGAAUGUUGAGGAAUGCAGAAAGUUUUCCGAGACAUUGUAUAAGUUUGUAUAUAUUCAAGGACCAUACUUGAACACAUGUAGCUAUUCUGGAUGGUAUAUCUAGGGGACGUGGGGCUGGAAUAUAUCUCCCAGGAUUGUUUUGUAGUAUAUAGGAUCCGAAUUCUUAUUCAUAGUUUUUUUUUUUUCUGCAAUUUGGAUUUUCAUUAAAUUGGAGGUUAAUUUUGGUUAAAUUUCAAUAUUAUAUUGUGAUUUUGUUAAGGAAUUCAAUGGGUUGCAGGUUCAGUGAAUAUUACCAGUUGUAGAGGUUUUGGUUUCCGGUACAUUUGGUUAAACUGAUGAGGGAUGCCAAAUCUAUGCUCAUGUCUUAUAGUAGCUCCAGUAGUCAAUGGCCAUCACUUGUAUAUAGCAGUGUCAGCAGUCACUAUUUUCUCAGACAAAUCGAUGUCAAUCAACUUAGAUAGUGACUAAGAAGAACUUGAGGCAGAGGAUCUGGAACUUAAUUAGUACAUUUGGUUGACUGGUUGUCGGUGUUUUCGUUUUGUGUUGGCAUGGGACUUGAAUGAACAAGGAAAUGGCACUUGAAGGCUCAAAUAUAAAGUUUUUGAGGGGAUCUCGGGAGUAGAUGAGUUUGGACGAUUCUCCCCACACCAAAAUACACUCACCCCAAGCUUCAGUGAUUUGCAUUUUUACUAAUUUUUGUUCUGGUGUCUCUACUUGUGUAUAUGUAUCUUGAUUUUGCUAAU